GACGAACGCUGGCGGCGUGCUUAACACAUGCAAGUCGAACGGUAAGGCCCUUCGGGGUACACGAGUGGCGAACGGGUGAGUAACACGUGGGUGAUCUGCCCUGCACUUCGGGAUAAGCCUGGGAAACUGGGUCUAAUACCGGAUAGGACUCCUGGCUUCAUGGUUGGGGGUGGAAAGCUUUUGCGGUGUGGGAUGGGCCCGCGGCCUAUCAGCUUGUUGGUGGGGUAAUGGCCUACCAAGGCGACGACGGGUAGCCGGCCUGAGAGGGUGACCGGUCACACUGGGACUGAGAUACGGCCCAGACUCCUCCGGGAGGCAGCAGUGGGGAAUAUUGCACAAUGGGCUCAAGCCUGAUGCAGCGACGCCGCUUGAGGGAUGACGGCCUUCGGGUUGUAAACCUCUUUCAGCUAUGACGAAGCGCAAGUGACGGUAGUAGCAGAAGAAGGACCGGCCAACUACGUGCCAGCAGCCGCCGUAA
rnacentral:rRNA from 1 species